rnacentral:rRNA from 1 species
UACGUAGGGGGCAAGCGUUGUCCGGAUUUACUGGGCGUAAAGAGCGCGCAGGCGGUUGAUUAAGUCGAAUGUGAAAGCCCCCGGCUCAACUGGGGAGGGUCAUUCGAUACUGAUCGACUUGAAGGCAGGAGAGAGAAGUGGAAUUCCCGGUGUAGUGGUGAAAUGCGUAGAUAUCGGGAGGAACACCAGUGGCGAAGGCGGCCCCCUGGGCCGUACCUGACGCUGAGGCGCGAAGGCUAGGGGAGCGAACGGG